UCAAAUUACAACAAAACUCGCGCACUCUCUCUCCCUCACUCCACUCACGCACGCACCCUCACUCAACUAACGGCCGAGCACACCUCGCCGGAGCAGGGUGUCAUUGCGUUGGCCGAACUCAGGGGGCCGAUUUCACUGGCCGCAGACUGCCGAUUUUAGAUGAGCGACAAGAGAUUUCAGGCGAGCGUUUUUCAGCUGCAGGGAUUCAGGCCGCAGACUGCAUUGAACUCACGCUUUGCUGCAUUUCACAGCGAUUUCGAUCGUGUCGGACCAAUUCGCCAUCGCGCCGGCCGUAGGGGGCCGAUUUCGGGCGAGCGACGGGUAUCUCUAAAUCGACGGCUACGGUUCGCGAGCAAUUUCAGAUUUCACGAGCGAUUUUUCAGGCGAGCGAUUUCACUUUUGGGCUCGCGAGGGUAAGGCGAAAAUCGACAGCUAGGGUUCGUUGCUUUCACAGUUGCAGAGAUUCAAGCUCGCCACGACCAGGUUUAAUUAAGUUGAAGUGAGUUAUGCACAUUUUUCUUACCGUGAAAUCGCAUUGGGCAGAAGCUUUUUGAAGUGAGUUUUGCACAUUGUACUUGAGUUUUUUCUAGUUUUCUUACCGUGAAACAUGUUUGUGUUUUAUCUUCGCGUAAGCUGCUGCUGCUUCGUUUUCACAUCGUUGCUUUCUAAGCUAUAUAUGUUAUCUUGAUGUUGUCAUUAUGUUGAUGCUACAUCUGUUAUCUUAAUAGUAAUUAACUGAUUGGUGAGCAAGGGACCAGGCUUCGAUGUCGAACUCAACUAGCGCAAGAGACUCCAGUGGUGGAUUUCAGAAGUUGUGUGGCCAUGGUAUUGUAGCUGUCGAGGAGACCUCACACACUCCGAAGUAUCCAGAGAGAAGAUUCUACUAUUGUUCACGAAGGAAGAUUCUGAAUUGACAUCUUACUACAAAUUGUGCUUCAACAACAUCAAAAAUGAAAUGGAUAAGCUAUUAGAACAAGUGAACUUCAGAGGCAAAUGUGAAGAAUUGGAUGGCAUGAAGUUGAGGCUGGAAGAAACUAACUUUAAGGUUCAAGAGUUGGGGAAGUUGGCAAACGAAUUGGAAUGAAAGCUGAUAGUACUGUACUUUAUUGUAGGAUCUUGUGUAGUUUUAUAUGUUCUGGUGAAAUUAAUGUCGUAAUUGUGUAGUGGUGAAGUUUCUAGACUAGAUUUCAUGUUUUGUUCAUGUUUUGUUCAUCUGGAAUCUUGAGAUUCAUGUUUUGUAAAGACUAUAUCAUGCAAUUCUUGGAUAAGAGUAAUUUCUUUUCUUCUUUC